rnacentral:rRNA from 1 species
UACGUAGGGUGCGAGCGUUGUCCGGAAUUAUUGGGCGUAAAGAGCUCGUAGGCGGUUUGUCACGUCUGCUGUGAAAUCCCGAGGCUCAACCUCGGGCCUGCAGUGGGUACGGGCAGACUAGAGUGUGGUAGGGGAGACUGGAAUUCCUGGUGUAGCGGUGAAAUGCGCAGAUAUCAGGAGGAACACCGAUGGCGAAGGCAGGUCUCUGGGCCACUACUGACGCUGAGAAGCGAAAGCGUGGGGAGCGAACAGG